UGUUCUAUAGUCAGUCCCUAGGUGAGUAUGUGAUUCUGGCAAGAACCUGAGUGGGGUGAACUAGCUACAGGGAGCUAGAGGAGAAGAGUAGGAAGGAACAUAAGGAAAUAACAGAGUCUGGGAGUGAGUAGACUGUGGCUGCUGAACAGGGGGUCCCUGUGCUGGAAUCCAGAGUAGGGGGCAGGCCUGGGUUUUCCUAUCUGCCCUGGAGGAAAGUGACAAUAGUCUUCAACUAUAGGAUAAUCUAGAAAGGUAACGGCACAGAUGAUCCAGAGGUACCCUGGAUGGGGAGACACAUAAUGAUCUGGCUGGAGCACUAAGCCAUGAAGAGAGAGCAGCUGAGUCAUCAAGAGGGAGCACCCUGAGUUGCAGACAGAGGUUGCAGGGCUUGUGAAUGAGCAGCAGAAGGGGAUAUUGGACCUGGAAGGAGCUAAUUCCCCAGACCAGACAUGAGGAGGUGCCCUGGUGGGGGAAGAGCCUUGUACCAGCCCUAUAUAUGAUGGACUACUUUCCCCAGUGGUAAAAGGUGGCAAGAUUAAACACUUGACUGAGUGCAGCGUUGCCAGGUAGGAAAUUACCAGAGUCCCUAAGGAGCAACAUUGUCCAUGGUGCUUUAGUUGAAGAUCUCUUACAAAUGAGCUGGAAGGAAACCCUACUACCGAAAUGAAGUAUUCUCCUGUCGGUGUGUGAUCAGCUUUGCAUGUGUGCAAAAUGCAACAGUUAUCAGUCUGAAAACCCAAUCCUGAAGAAGGAAUUACUCAGGGAAAUGUCAGCUGCAGACCAAAGAUUCAAGUCUGGGCCAAGAAACUGAUGUGAAUUGCCAUCUGCAUUUUUUUUUGUUUUCUGAUUAAAAUAACAUC